AUGGAUCAGCUGGCUCUGCUCGCGACGGAGUUCGGAGAUUCGUCCGACUUCGAGGUCGACGGCAUCAACGAGAACGAUGUCAGCGACGAGGAGAUUGAGCCGGAGGAGCUGGCCCGGCGAAUGUGGAAGGACAGGGUCAGGCUCAGGAGGAUCAAGGAGAGGCAGCAGAGGCUAGCCUUGCAGCAGGCUGAACUGGAGCUGGAGAAGUCCAAGCCCAAGCAGAUAUCCGACCAGGCCAUGCGCAAGAAGAUGGCCAGGGCGCACGACGGGAUCCUCAAGUACAUGCUCAAGCUGAUGGAGGUGUGCAAUGCCCGUGGGUUUGUCUAUGGGAUCAUCCCUGAGAAAGGGAAGCCUGUGAGUGGUGCGUCGGAUAAUAUUAGAGCUUGGUGGAAGGAGAAGGUUAAGUUUGAUAAGAAUGGUCCGGCAGCGAUUGCAAAGUACGAGGCCGAGCACUUGGUGGAUGCUGAUGCUCAGAGUAGCGUUGUCAAGAACGAGCACAGCUUGAUGGAUCUCCAAGACGCCACUCUGGGCUCACUGCUUUCAUCAUUGAUGCAGCACUGUAAUCCACCGCAGCGCAAGUACCCCCUGGAGAAGGGCACUCCGCCCCCAUGGUGGCCUGCGGGGAAUGAAGAGUGGUGGGCUGCCUUGGGCCUUCCAAGGGGACAGAUUGCUCCUUACAAAAAACCUCAUGACCUUAAGAAGGUUUGGAAGGUCGGGGUGCUUACAUGUGUUAUUAAGCACAUGUCCCCUAACUUUGAUAAGAUCAGAAACCAUGUUCGCAAAUCCAAAAUCUUGCAGGAUAAAAUGACUGCAAAGGAGAGCCUGAUUUGGUUGGGAGUCCUACAGAGAGAGGAAAGACUUGUGCACGGUAUUGACAAUGGCGUCUCAGAGAUUACUCACCGCAGUGCUCCAGAAGACAGAAAUGGAACUAGGAACGCACACAGCAGCAGUAAUGAGUAUGAUGUUGAUGGUUUUGAGGAGGCUCCUCUUUCAAUAUCAUCUAAAGAUGAUGAGCAAGGUCUUUCUCCAGCUGCACAAUCCAGCGAGGAGCAUGUCUCCAGAAGAGACAGAGAAAGGGCGAACACUAAACAUCUUUAUCAGGCUGUUGUUCUUAAGGAAGGAACAAAAAAACAACCACCAAAGAGAAAAAGAGCACGUCACAGUUCCGUUGCUGUUGAGCAGGAGGUACAAAGGACUGAUGAUGCACCAGAAAAUCCAGGAAAUCUGAUUCCCGAUAUGAACCGACUGGACCAAGUAGAGAUUCCAGGCAUGGCUAACCACCAGAUUACAAGCUUCAAUCAGAUGGCCGUUACAAGUGAAGCUUUACAACACAGAGGAAAUGCUCAAGGGCAUGUUUAUCUUCCUGGGUCUGGGGUUAAUGGCUUUGAUAAUGCCCAACCUGUGGAUGCUACUCCUGUAAGCAUAUAUCAGCCUGUACUUUAUGGAAGUAGUGAUAAUGCCAGGUCAAAGUCUGGAAGCCCCUUUCCACUGCAUGCCAAUUCUGGUUUUAAUAGUUUUCCCAGUAACUAUCAGACUUUACCUCCGAAACAAUCAGUGCCAUUACCUAUGAUGGAUCAUCAUGUGGUUCCCAUGGGUAUCAGGGCACCAGCUGACAACAGUCCUUAUGGUGAUCAUGUGAUUGGUGGUGGAAGUUCAACUUCUGUCCCUGGAGAUAUGCAACACCUCGUAGAUUUUCCAUUCUACGGUGAGCAAGAUAAGUUUGUUGGCAGUUCUUUUGAGGGGUUACCUUUGGACUAUAUCAGUAUGAGCAGCCCGAUCCCAGAUAUUGAUGAUUUGCUGCUGCAUGAUGAUGAUUUAAUGGAAUACCUGGGAACAUAA
rnacentral:rRNA from 1 species